rfam:Triticum aestivum genome assembly, contig: Triticum_aestivum_CS42_TGACv1_scaffold_485212_6AS
AAGUUACUCCUUCCGUUCAGAAAUACUUGUCAUCAAAAUGAAUAAAAGAUGAUGUAUCUAGAUGUAUUUUAAUUCUAGAUACACCAUUUUUUAUUCAUUUUGAUGACAAGUAUUUCCGGACGGAGGGAGUAAAAA